AGACAAGUGGCCGCACCGCAUCACGGUGAGGAAAGUCCGAGCUCCACAGGGCAGGGUGCCGGAUAACAUCCGGUGGAGGCGACUCCAAGGAAAGUGCAACAGAAAUAAACCGCCGCUUUGCGGUAAGGAUGGAAAGGCGAGGUAAGAGCUCACCGCACCUAUGGUAACUUAGGUGGCAAUGUAAACCCCACUCGGAGCAAGAUUGAAAUGGGAACAUUUAAUGGCUGCCCGUCACGUUCCCCGUAAUCGCUUGAGCGUAUGAGUAAUCAUGCGCCUAGAUAGAUGGUCACAUAAACAGAACUCGGCUUAUGGCUUG
rnacentral:RNase_P_RNA from 1 species